GACCAGUAAGUUCUUGAUCUGGCCUC
rnacentral:piRNA from 1 species